CAUUUCAUCAUCUGUAAGCUGCCCACCCUUAGCAUAAAGGACUCCAAAUUUAAAAUUCACAGGUCCCUGAGAAAUAAAACCAAAUGCAUGAAUUUCUGGAGCUGCGCAGCAUGCCACGGAGUGCCAAAUGCAGUCUGUCUGAGGCACACUGAGCUGACACGGAGGUCACAUCUGAUGCACCUUUCCAUCAUUGCUUAUGCUAGGUCA